CCUACGGGCGGCAGCAGUGGGGAAUAUUGGGCAAUGGGCGCAAGCCUGACCCAGCGACGCCGCGUGAGGGAAGACGGUCUUCGGAUUGUAAACCUCUUUCAGCAGGGAAGACAAAAGGACGAUACCUGCAGAAGAAGCCACGGCUAACUACGUGCCAGCAGCCGCGGUAAUACGUAGGUGGCAAGCGUUAUCCGGAAUUAUUGGGUUUAAAGGGUGCGUAGGCGGUCCGGAAAGUCAGCGGUAAAAGCCCGGGGCUCAACCCCGGCGAGCCGUUGAAACUGUCGGACUAGAGACGGCGAGAAGUACGCGGAAUGCGCGGUGUAGCGGUGAAAUGCAUAGAUAUCGCGCAGAACUCCGAUUGCGAAGGCAGCGUACCGGCGCCGGACUGACGCUGAGGCACGAAAGCGUGGGUAUCGAACAGGAUUAGAUACCCCAGUAGUC
rnacentral:rRNA from 1 species